GGCGGCCGCCUAUAUACAGCCCGGUCGCCAUGGGGAUGGGCCGGGGCCUCUUCCUGUUGGUCCAGACCCCUCUCUCUGCCCGGAGAAGCCGCGGCAGAAGAGUGCUGAUUGGUGCAGGCGACAUGGGAUGAGGAAAUGGUUUGCUGCUCAGAACAGCUCCAUUCUCAUCAAGGAUGGGCUAUGCAAAAUAGGUCUCCGGGCUGUGCACCUCUUGCCAUUGUGGAUGACAUUUCAGAGGAUCUAGCAAUGUUACAGUGAUUAUGACAUUGAGGAAAUUCGCUCUCAUCGUGGGUGGCCUCGAAAGACUAACCAUUGAAGUCACCCAGGGCACACUCCAGUGCUAAAAAGUUAGGAACAAGCGAGUGUGUUGAAGAAGUAUAUGGUUGGAAUUCUAAUUUAGAAACGAAUGUUUCUCCCAAAGGACCAUCUGCAGGAUUGCAGCAUUUUACAUUAGCCACAGCUUGGUUCAGUGCCUUGGAGCCAAAUCACAUUUUCUGAAAAUCUUUGUUUCAACCAAAAAUCUUUGCUUUCCCUUUGCAUAAUCAUACCCCCCUCUUUUUUUUUUUUCAAUUUGUAUCCUCUGAACAAAAUAAAAUUUGAUAAUUUUUUUUGUUUGGUUGGUUUUUGUUUCUUGAAGAUUUAUUUAUUUAUUUGAAAGGCAGAGUUUCAGAGAGCCACUGAGAGAGAGAGAGAGAGAGAGAGAGAGAGUCUUCCAUUCACUGGUUCACUCCCUAAAUAGCCGCAGUGUCCAGAACUAGGAUGAUCCGAAGCCAGGAGCCAGGAGCUUCUUCUGGGUCUCCCAGUGGAUACAGUAGCCCAAGCACCUGGGCCAUCUUCUACUGCUUCCCCAGGCCAUAGCAGAGAGCUGGAUUGGAAGUGGAGCAGCUGGAACUUGAACCGGCCCCAUAUAGGAUGCCGGCACUGCAGGCAGCAACUUUUUUUGUUGUUUUUAAGAUUUAUUUAUUUAUUUGAAAGUCAGAGUAGUACACAGAGAAAGAAGGAGAGGCAGAAAGAGAAAGAGAGAGAGGUCUUCCAUCUGCUGAUUCACUCCCCAGUUGGCUGCAAUGGCCAGAGUUGCACCAAUCCAAAGCCAGGAGUCAGGAGCUUCCUCCAGGUCUCCCACAUAGGUGCAGGGGCCCAAGGUCUUGGGCCAUCUUCCACUGCUUUCCCAGGCAGAGAGUUUGAUUGGAAGAGGAGCAGCUGGGACUCGAACAGGUGCCCAUAUGGGAUGCUGGCACUGCUCGGUAAUGUUUUUAAUUUGAAAAAGCUUUCCUGGGGCCGGGACAGUGGUGCAGUGAGCUAAGCUGCUGUCUGUCACACUGGCAUCCCAUGUCAGAGUGCAUGUCCAAGUUCUGGCUACUCUGCUGCUGAUCCAGUUCCCUGCUAAUGUGUCUGGGAAAGCAGCAGAGCAUGGGCCCCACCACUUAUGUGGGAGACCUGGCAGGAGUUCCAGGCUUUGGCCUGGCCCAGCCCUGGCUGUUAAGGCCACUUCAGAAGUAAACUAGUGGAAGCUCUCUCUAUGUCUCUGUCACUCUGCUUUUAAAAUGAAUAAAAUCAGUCUUUUUUAAAAAAAAUCCUGAAAAAAUAAAAGAAAAAAAUACCUUUAAUUUUAUUGCUAGAUGAUUUGAGACCUAUGGUAAAAGCUAACAUUUCUGAAGUUAUCACUGAUUGCUAAGGCUCUGUUCUAGGCAUUUUUACUCAGUUAUUCUUCAACACAGAGAUAGAUAUUCUUCAACAGAGAUAGAUACAAUGAUUAUUUCCCUUUUACAGAUGACAAAAUUGAGGCACAAAAGUUUAAGUUGACAGAAGUCACCAAGUAAAUGCAAUAGAGCCAGAGCUCAAAUCCAAGUCUAAGUUUCACUGAAUUACAAUUGUUUGUUUGUUUAAAGACUUAUUUAUUUAUCUGAAAGCAAGAGUUACAGAGAGAGAGAGAGAGAGAGAGAGAUCUGCCAGUUCACCCCACAGAUGGACACAAUGCCAGGGGCAAGCCAGGCCGAAGCCAGGAGCCAGGAGCUUCAUCCCAGUCUCCCACAAGGGGGUGGCAGGGGCCCAAGCUCUUGAACUAUCUUCCACUGCUUUUCCAAGGCACAUUAGUCGGGGGCUGCAUUGGAAGUGGAGCAUCAGAGACUUGAACCAGCUCCCACGUGGAAUGCUGGCUUCGCAGGCAGCAGCUCCACCUGCUACACCAUAGCACUAGCCUCAAAAGAAGCAACACUGUAUAAUUAAAAAUAAAUUUCUGAUACCACUACCAGCUCCCUGCUAAUGUACCUGGGAAACAGCAGAGAUGGCCAUGUCCUUGGGUCCCUGCCACCCACUUGGGAGACCCAGAUGGAGUUCUUGGCUCCUGGUUUUGGCAUGGUCCAGCCCCAGCUAUUGGCCAUUUGGCAAGUGAACCAUCAGAUGGAAGAUCUAUUUCUGUGUCUCUCCUCCCUCUGUCACUCUGCCUUUCAAAUAAAUAAAAUGCUUCUUUUUUAAAAAGGUGAAAAAAAUGCAAAUGUUUAUCAGCUGGUGAAAAUUACAUAAAUUAUGGGUUUUUUUUUGUUUUGUUUUGUUUUGUUUUGUUUUUUUUUUUGAAAGGCAGAGUGGACAGUGAGAGAGAGAGAGAGA